AUACGAUCAUGGGGAAUCCGACUGUUUAAUUAAAACAAAGCAUUGCGAAAACUUUUAACUAGAUUUUUACGUAAUGUGUAUUUCUGCUCAGUGCUCUGAAUGUCAAAGUGAAGUAAUUCAACCAAGCGCGGGUAAAACAGCGGGAGUAACUAUGACUCUCUUAAGGUAGCCAAAUGCCUCGUCAUCUAAUUAGUGACGCGCAUGAAUGGAUUAACGAGAUUCCCCACUGUCCCUACUUGCUAUCUAGCGAACCAACAGCCAAGGGAACGGGCUUGGCAAUGUCAGCGGGGAAAGAAGACCCUAUUGAGCUUGACUCUAGUCUAAAAUUGUGAAAUAUUUUAUGGGUGUAGAAUAGGUGGGAGUUUGUAAAAACAAUACUUGAAAUACCACUACCGUAAAUAAUAUUUUACUAUCUAAUUA
rnacentral:rRNA from 1 species